rnacentral:piRNA from 1 species
UAGGCUGAUGAACACUAAUUUUGGAUUGCC